GUCCCGUUCGUCUAGAGGCCUAGGACACCGCCCUUUCACGGCGGCAACACGGGUUCAAAUCCCGUACGGGACGCCA
rnacentral:tRNA from 1 species